rnacentral:rRNA from 1 species
UACGUAGGUGGCAAGCGUUAUCCGGAUUUAUUGGGCGUAAAGGGAACGCAGGCGGUCUUUUAAGUCUGAUGUGAAAGCCUUCGGCUUAACCGGAGUAGUGCAUUGGAAACUGGGAGACUUGAGUGCAGAAGAGGAGAGUGGAACUCCAUGUGUAGCGGUGAAAUGCGUAGAUAUAUGGAGGAACACCGGUGGCGAAAGCGGCUCUCUGGCCUGUAACUGACACUGAGGCUCGAAAGCGUGGGGAGCAAACAGG